CAAGAGAAAUGUCAAACCUUUUCCAGCUUCUUAAAUGUGAGGCUAUUAUUUGAUUAAUGCCAUUGUAGUUUUUCUUAUCUUUCUCUAGUCUAUGAGUCUCAUGAGAGGGACUGAAAAAGCCUUUUCUGGCCAUUUUUGCUUUAAAAUCCCUGAAUCGAUAAUCAGAAAGAUGGUGUUUUUUUCGAUCGAUUAAUCGACAAAUCAUUUCAGCUGUUAAAUACAAUGCAUUUGAUAAAUACAAAUUCCCUGAUCCAGUUUUCUUGACCCCCCCCCUCCUUGAAGAACUAGUCACUUGAUUAAUUGACAAAGGCACUGAUCAUUUAGUUGCCGUCAAAAUCUUAUGAAUAAUCACAGAACACAUUAUGUGGUUUGAUUGAAUUAUCAAAAUCAAAAUCACCAACAAAAUCAUCACAUUGCAUCUCACAAAAUGUCUGUGAUUGUCUUUUUCAAUUUAGAUUUUACAUAUCAUUUUUUCAUUUUCUUAUUAUCAAUCUGUUUGGUCACUCUAAACUAAACUACAACUACGUCCCAACACACCGACUGUACUGAGGUGAAUCUGGGUGUACUGCGGCUCAAUUCGCAACGUAAGGGCGCCGUCCUGUCCGCCAUGACUUCGUGGAGCGCGUCCACCAGCGAGCGACUCGGCCUGGGCCUGCCUUGAGGCGUGCUCUUCAGCGAGAGGGCGUGUCAGGAGGGCUCUGAUUGGACAGCAGCCGCUUGGUGACUGUACUGGUGGAGGACGUCUGGUCGUCCUUAUCAAAAGGACUAAAAGACAACGCAAAAAGCAGGACAAAGAGUCACCUCAAGGUUCAGCUUCACCGUCCCGAGGUCGUUGAUGUCCACGGCGAGCGUCUGGGGCAGCGGGCAGAAUAGGUCGAGCAUCUCGCAGGACACACUGCCCACCACCACGUGAUUGGCCAGGCUCUUCAGCUCUGUCACCUUGAUAAACAAAACAGGCAAAACCUCAGAAAGAACUAAAAAAAAACAACAAGUGAAUCCAUUGGAUUUUUACGUUGAAUUUGAGAUUAUUUCAGAAAAACUAAGCUCUACGGCAAACAAAUAAACAAAACUUUUUGUCUUUUUUAAAGCUUAAAUGCAAUAGCAGGUUGUUUCAGUCUUGUGUAGCCACUUGUUUGCAAAUGGAUUUUUUAGGGACACAUGAAAGCUUUCAUGAUUGCCGAGAAAAUUUACAAGAAAGAAACAAAUGUGUAUUUUGUGCAACUGAACACAAAAUCCACAACAAAUGCAACAUACUAUAUAUACUGCUGUUCGAGUCACAUAAGCUAGAAUGUAAAUAUUUAGCUUUUUUUUUAAAAUAACACUUUGAAUUUGUGGUUUUUAAUGUUUUUGUUGAAUUUGUUUAUUAUGACAAACACGCUAGCCAUGCCCUUUUAAAAUCUGAUUUCAUUACCUUGAUUGACAGCAGUUCUGUGACGAGAGGCAGGAAGAUGUACUCUUCACCAUCCCAUAUCUGCUUGUUGCUGACUUCCACGCGGCCUCGUAGCCUCCAGCGCUGACGCCCAUAGCGCAUUAGAACCUGAUAGAGCCAAAAACAGUGAAUGUGAUUCAGUACACACAGAGACUCCAUCACAAUCUGUACACAAGUCCUUGUGUUUGUGAUUCUUACCUCAUACUGGUCACCAGCACAGAGCCGUGCGAAGCCAGCGAGGCCUGAAAAGGACCAGAAAACUGAGAACUGUGCGACGGCAGAGCGGAUGAAAACAGUGGUAGAAAAGUGGUAGAAAGUGACUCACCCUUCAUCUUGACAUGAAAUUCUCCCAUCUGGCUUUCUAAUUCACUCUCAAGAGAGCACAUGUGCUGCAAGGACAGAUGGAGGCACAGGUUUGAAUAAUUUAACAGAGAUUUGUAUUUACUGCACACAUCAAUCAUCAAUCAACUUGGAUUUAUAUAGCCCAAUGUCAAAGAUUUGUCUUAGGGGGAUUCACAGACUUUACAGAAAAAAUGUAAGGAAAAACUCCCCCCAAAAACCCCACCAUAAAAGGGAAAAAUGAAAGAAACCUCAGGGAGAGCCAUAAAGGAGGGAUCCCAGAACUGACUGACAUGGAUUAGGUGUUGUAUGUAUAGAAUAAACACCAUAUUAAAUGACAGCAUAGAAAAUUAAAAUGAGAAGUGUGAAUGUAUAUUUAAAUGAAGGAUCUAGUAGGAUGUCACAAAGCUUCCAGGUGCCGCCAGAAAAGAAAUAAUGUCUGCUCACCUCAGUGCACUCCCUGUAGCCCUUGUUGGCUUCACUCAGGCUCUCUCUGGCCUCCCGGCUGCCGGUGGCCACGUUAAAGGCCGCCACCAUCUUACUCGCUCCGUCACGCAGUCGCCGCUGUAUACAAUAAGCAUCG